AUUGAACGCUGGCGGCAGGCCUAACACAUGCAAGUCGAGCGGAUGAAGGGAGCUUGCUCCUGGAUUCAGCGGCGGACGGGUGAGUAAUGCCUAGGAAUCUGCCUGGUAGUGGGGGAUAACGUCGGGAAACGGGCGCUAAUACCGCAUACGUCCUGAGGGAGAAAGUGGGGGAUCUUCGGACCUCGCGCUAUCAGAUGAGCCUAGGUCGGAUUAGCUAGUUGGUGGGGUAAAGGCCUACCAAGGCGACGAUCCGUAACUGGUCUGAGAGGAUGAUCAGUCACACUGGAACUGAGACACGGUCCAGACUCCUACGGGAGGCAGCAGUGGGGAAUAUUGGACAAUGGGCGAAAGCCUGAUCCAGCCAUGCCGCGUGUGUGAAGAAGGUCUUCGGAUUGUAAAGCACUUUAAGUUGGGAGGAAGGGCAGUAAGUUAAUACCUUGCUGUUUUGACGUUACCAAAAGAAUAAGCACCGGCUAACUUCGUG
rnacentral:rRNA from 1 species